rnacentral:rRNA from 1 species
UACGUAGGGUGCGAGCGUUGUCCGGAUUUAUUGGGCGUAAAGAGCUCGUAGGCGGUCUGUCGCGUCGGCUGUGAAACCCCGAGGCUCAACCUCGGGCCUGCAGUCGAUACGGGCAGACUAGAGUGUGGUAGGGGAGACUGGAAUUCCUGGUGUAGCGGUGAAAUGCGCAGAUAUCAGGAGGAACACCGGUGGCGAAGGCGGGUCUCUGGGCCAUAACUGACGCUGAGGAGCGAAAGCGUGGGGAGCGAACAGG